rnacentral:rRNA from 1 species
AUGAUCAGUGUUGUCUACCCUGAACAAGCCCGAUUCCAUCUGAUCUUGGAAGCUAAGCAGGGUUGAGCCUGGUUAGUACUUGGAUGGGAGGCCACCUAGGAAGGCCAGGUGCUGUAGGUG